rnacentral:sRNA from 1 species
AUCUAAUAUUCUAUAAGAAAAAGUAAAUAAACAUGAACAAAUGUCCAGAUAUGUUAAGCUUUGCAAUAAUUUUGAAAUUUUUUAUUUGGCAUACUUUCCUCAUCGACCUCCAUCUUAUCUCUUUUUUAAUAGAAUAAAUUCAAACAAAAUAUCAAAUGAAAGGGAUUUAAAACUUGUUUUUUAAAGUUUCAAUUUAUCAUUUGAGAACUCUGUGGAAAAAGAAAUUGGUAAAGGUUUUAUGGAUAAUACAGAGUAAAAACAUGUAUGUUUUGGUGCACAACCAACCCAGCCAGCCCCCCCCCCCCUACCCCCGAAAAAGAUAUCAAAUGGGAAUUCACUCAUUUCCAUCUACACAAUGUCAAGGUUUUGUGAUUACGGAACUCCACACAAUUCUCAAAACCCUGACAUUGUGUAGAUGGGAUCCAUUCUGAGACAUUUUUUUUAAUAUGUACUUAGACACUUUUGUCUGUUUGAAAACUGCACGUGCAUGAAAUCUUUCAAAACAUAUUCGUGGGCAGCCAGUUUUCUUAGAUCCAGUUUGAAAUGCAAGAACACCGGUCUGUCCGUAAACAUGAUAGCUUCAACGCUAACGGUUAUAAGGCAUAAUAUAGCGGUUGUUAUGAGGAUGUAUUGAUCCGUGUGAGUAGUUCAACUUUUGUGUACUCAUGUACAGAAUGUGAUUAUUAAGAAUGAUUGUCUUAAUUUUGUCCCAAAUAUUAAGGGCCCUAAAUAUGGUAUUGAACAAUUUACGUGCAAUAAAUUUUUCUACAAGU